rnacentral:pre_miRNA from 10 species
CUUGUGAAGACGCAGAGCUUAGCUCAUUAGUGAGCACCGAGGCAAACCCUUUUGUUCACAGUGGCUAAGUUCAGUGUCUGACAUGAAAAGAAUGA